rnacentral:rRNA from 1 species
UACGUAGGGGGCGAGCGUUGUCCGGAUUUAUUGGGCGUAAAGAGCGUGUAGGCGGUUCGGUAAGUCUGUCGUGAAAUCCUGAGGCUCAACCUCGGGCGUGCGAUGGAUACUGCCGGGCUAGAGGGUGGUAGAGGCGAGUGGAAUUCCCGGUGUAGCGGUGAAAUGCGCAGAUAUCGGGAGGAACACCAGUGCGAAGGCGGCU